AACCGUGUACGUACAAGCAGUGGGAGCACCCUUCGGGGUGUGACUGCGUACCUUUUGUAUAAUGGGUCAGCGACUUAUAUUCUGUAGCAAGGUUAACCGAAUAGGGGAGCCGGAGGGAAACCGAGUCUUAAUUGGGCGUUAAGUUGCAGGGUAUAGACCCGAAACCCGGUGAUCUAGCCAUGGGCAGGUUGAAGGUUGGGUAACACUAACUGGAGGACCGAACCGACUAAUGUUGAAAAAUUAGCGGAUGACCUGUGGCUGGGGGUGAAAGGCCAAUCAAACCGGGAGAUAGCUGGUUCUCCCCGAAAGCUAUUUAGGUAGCGCCUCGUGAAUUCAUCUCCGGGGGUAGAGCACUGUUUCGGCUAGGGGGCCAUCCCGGCUUACCAACCCGAUGCAAACUGCGAAUACCGGAGAAUGUUAUCACGGGAGACACACGGCGGGUGCUAACGUCCGUCGUGAAGAGGGAAACAACCCAGACCGCCAGCUAAGGUCCCAAAGUCAUGGUUAAGUGGGAAACGAUGUGGGAAGGCCCAGACAGCCAGGAUGUUGGCUUAGAAGCAGCCAUCAUUUAAAGAAAGCGUAAUAGCUCACUGGUCGAGUCGGCCUGCGCGGAAGAUGUAACGGGGCUAAACCAUGCACCGAAGCUGCGGCAGCGACACUGUGUGUUGUUGGGUAGGGGAGCGUUCUGUAAG
rnacentral:rRNA from 1 species